CUCUUACAGAAAGGCUGGAUUGCUCUCUUUGAGCCAGCACAUGGAUGAAAGUCUGCUAUCAAAGCCUCAUUUACCAAAGAGGUAGAUAGCAAUUUUAUGUAUUGAGGGAACAAAAAAAAACCAGCCUCACUCUUGGACACCUGCCUUUCAGAUACACAUUUGUCAGUCAGAGAACUGAGUGCUGCAGAUGCAAAGCAAACACUUUCAUGUCUUCUCUGAGUAUGUUUUAAGGCCAGUUUUCCUGCAUGGGUUUCCAUAAUGGUUAUUGUAUAUAAUUUUGUAGCUUCUGCAAGCUGUAAUUUGGUCCAGACCCCAUAGCUUCCAGAUGGUUUUGGAUAAAUAGGAGUUGAACACUUGUUAUAGAUGCUAUUCCAAAUAUCAUUUUCCCAUAUGCAGUGUUGCAUAUGUUGUUUGUGACAUACAGCUAAUGACAGAAAGCAGUAACACCACCAUUGCUGGAAGUGUUCCAAAGGCAUGUGGAUGUGGCACUUGGGGAUGUGGUUUGCUGGGGAACACGGUGGUGCUGAUUUAAUAGUUGGACUCGAUGAUGCAGAUAUUUUUCAGCCAUAGUACUGUUAUGAUUCUAUCAAUGCUUCCUGUAAAUGUUGCUUAUAUGUGUGAAGAAUGCCUCUCAAAAUGUGUAGUUAACAUCUGAACAUUUAGAUACUUUUCAGAGCCAGUGAAGACUUUUUUUUUUUUUUUAGAUACUGACCGAGCUUUAGUACUGCUGGAAGAAUAUUGCAAAAAACUGCGGAAGCCAGAAGAGCAGCAACUGAAAAAAGCCAUCAGAAAGGUGAUGGGCAUCUUUAAGAGCAGCUUGUUUCAGGCACUCCUAGCUCUCUGAAAGUGAAGAGAACAAAUUUCAAGUUAGAGUCUGAGAAGAUUAAUAGGGACAUCUGACUCUUGUGGGGGCAACAGUCCUCUCAUGUGGCAAUGCAUUAUGAGCAACAAAAAAGAAAUUGGAUGACGUUUCAGCCUCUCAGUGGUCGUUGACUCAGGACCAGAUCGAGCAGAGAAUAAGAGUUCAACUUCAGCUAUCAGCCUGCACCCUAGGACCAUUACUGACCACUACUGAUGCAUCACUUGCACCGUGGCACAUUUUGAUGUCCAGGAGAACUCAAUACUUCUGCCAUAAAGAAUGUGGACAUGAAGACCAGCUUGUAUAUUUCUGUCCCUGAAUGCCUUCCACUUGAGGAAAAACCUGUGUGCUUUUCGAAAAGGUCCCGAAACCUAAUUUAAAAGCAUCACCAGCAGGAAAAACCCAUCACGAAGUGGGAGAAAAUCUUGAACAUUAUUAAUUUGAAUCAUGGAGCUGUAUAGAAACAGAUAUUGAUACAAUGCGGCUAACGUGUGACAGAGUACCAAAUGGACGUCCUUUGAGAAGUCAGUUCUAACUUCCCUAAGUCAUCAGUUCUCUCUUAGUAGGCCAUAUUUUUUAGGGAAUAGCUCAACAUGUGUAUCAGUCCUAAAUUCUUUUAAGCUGCAUAUUUCUUUUGGAGUGAAAAUCUGAGACAGUGUAGCCCAUGAAUUGCUGUGAAGACAUCGAAGCCACAUUCCUCACUUUUAAGGGACUGGUGUGGUGGCAUACAGGAGCCUAAUGUUCCAUGCAAUUUGUGAUUUUCCACUUUCCUGAAGAAAUAAUUCUGUUUGUAGUUUUAUGAACUUGCAGUCUUGAAUACACAGUACUGCAAGUCACAAUUUUAUCUAUAGGCUGUUCCAUCUUGAAUGAAGAAAUACUAUAUGUUGUUAAAACCCUGAUCUCCAAGAGUUUGUAAAAAAAAUUAAUGAUGUCUGACUUAAAAUGUAAUUUUUAAAAGUUGAACAUUUAUUAUUAAAACUUCUUUCAAAAAAAAAAAAAAAAAGGGUAUAAUUUUUGUGCAUUAAUGCUUGUCUGGGAGACACUGGAAGUAUUUCUUCUGAAAGAAGAAUACCUGUAGUCACAAGCCUGAAGAAGUGGUGCUGUAGAUGGAUGGAUGCUUUGAGCUUAUUUGCAUGUGUUGAAGUUUUUCCAGGUGAAAAGCCCUGACUGG
rnacentral:lncRNA from 1 species